rnacentral:rRNA from 1 species
GACAGAGGUCCCAAGCGUUAGGCGGAAUCACUGGGCUUAAAGCGUGUGUAGGCGGAUGUCUAAGUACCUUGUGAAAUCCCGCGGCUCAACCGCGGAACUGCUUGGUAUACUGGAUGUCUUGAGCCAUCUAGGGGCUACUGGAACAAAUGGUGGAGCGGUGAAAUGCGUAGAUAUCAUUUGGAACGCCAAUGGUGAAAACAAGUAGCUGGGGAUGUGCUGACGCUGAGACGCGAAAGCCAGGGGAGCAAACGGG